UCAGUUAAGGUGAGCUGUUAGCAGCAGGAGGAAAAAAAAACUUUUGUGGUGAUAAUCAGGAUGUCCCAUUUCGAACAGCUGACAAGAAGAUUUGAGUAACAAUAAUUAACCAGUA